GACCUUCUCAUGCAUUUCAAAUACUAUUUUAUCCAUAGCUUGUUUUGGAGAAAAAACAUUCUCAUUGGUUCCAUUGAAAAAGUCAUUCAUCCUGCGGUAUUUGUGCGUCUUCAAUAAGAAGCACCUGUGUCGCAUGAACACUAUCUUCAUAGAUCCCUUAAGAUACACAUAUGAUGUUCCAUCCAAGCAAACUACACAUGUUGUCUUACCUUUUACUUGACUUAUCAGGACAAAUAGGGCAGGAUAAUCAUUGAUGGUAACAAAGAUAAUGACCCUUAGUAUGCUAUACUCAUCCCACAUCCAAACCCCAUGUUCCCAAAUCUUC
rnacentral:lncRNA from 1 species